UCUCCUUCCCGGGUCUGCGGGAGACCCAGACAUCACGCCUCGGACUCUCCUUGCUUGCUGGCCCUCGGACCGGCGCUCCGACCUCGCCCCCUUCUGAUCUUUGACAGGUCUCCUUGCAGGCAGGGACCGGGAUCCUCGGCACCAGCCCCGCGCCCUGUCUGCCCGCGCCACCAGCGCCGCGAGGCUCACCUGAGCCCAGAGGCCGGGCAGCCGCGGGCGGCGCGCCGCGGGCCACGAGAGGACGCUGCGCCGGCAGACCCGGCCUCGGGGCCCGCAGCUGUGAGCCUCCAACCCGGAAGAACAGCCCCAACUCAGCGGCUGCAGCCACGUGACUGCGGCGCAGCCCCCUCCCGGGCCCCGCGACCCUCCCCGUUCGGGCCCUCUUCCCGGUGGGCCCCCUCAGCCGGCCUUCCUGCUCUCCGGACGAGAAAGUGACCUCCCGAAUGUCCCCCUUGAGCGCAAAGGCACUUACCCGAAGAAGCCUUUCCACUCUCCUCGGUGGCAGAAAAACCUCUUUGUUUCUGGCUCGGCCCGCGGCCCUCCGCCCCGCCUGCGCGCUCUCCUUUGCUCCGUCCUUGUCAAUCAAACCCCGUGCCAAACUCCGCGAUGAAGUGUUCAGCUGGCCUAGAGGUAGCAGUGUGCUUCUGUGUUACUAUCCACUGGCUGGAAAGCACCCUUGGUGGACGUUAAGUUUCCGGACCAGGUUUAGGCUGAUGGCAGCAAAACUGUUAAAAGACUCCAAAACAUACUGACUAGCUGUUGUCUUCACAGUAUCUCCCUAGGAAAAUCAUGCCAGCCUGCAUUUGUCUUCUGGGAGCCAACAGUGGACUUUUACUGUGCUUCUCCAAGGCUAUGGAUCUUGGAGAUAUCUACCAUGGUUUCGUGGCAAAGGACCUGGCUAAGUGGAAAAGUCCCACAAAUGUAACUCUAUUUCACUAACCAGUAACUCUCUUUAAGUUGCAAUGUUUCCCCCGUGCUGUAAACUCCAAAACAGCUACUGCCUUUCUUGGGGUGGUUGGGGUAUUGCAGACCUUUGUUCCUCACUUAGCCCAAAUGUUAAAACCUUUGUAUGUCUUGACUCGGAAAGGCUAUCCCUGAGAAUAGAACACCCCCCGAUAGGCUGUGUUCAAAAAGGUAAAAAGGGCAAUAGCACAGGCACAAGCACUAGGGGGCAGAGAUCCAGACCUGCCCUGCGAAUUGGAUGCGGCCAGCACUAAUACUGGCUUUGGGUGGGUCUGUCGCAGAAGCAGUAUUCUAAAUGAAUGGCCCUUGGCUUUGGUCACCAUUAUGGAAGGGGACAGAACUGAGAUACAGCCCCCUGAAUAAAAAAAGCAGUUGUGUGCUGCAUUUAAUUUCUUAUUGCAAGUGGAGAGACUGAUGCAAAGAUGUCCAGUCACCUUAAAAAUGGCCAUGCCUAUUCAGGAGUGGAUUACUGACUGUGGGAGUCCCAGUUGUUAUGGGAAGAAAACCCUGUCCUAGGUAGUGAGGCCCACCUGAUCCCUCAUCAAACAGAGAAACAAGUUUCCUUCUCUGGUGAGACGGUGAGUUUAUUGAAGAUGCAUCAACAAGGAACUGAAGGAAAGGAAAACGUUUUAAGCCCAGUUCAAAGUGAGAAGAAUUGGUUGGGGUUUUAUAACCCCAAACAAAGAAAUGGCCAGAAACCAGAAGAAAGCAGAAAGGGGGAAAAAAAAAAGAGAAGAGAGAAAGCUGUUCUGUCAGCAUCUCCUUGUUAUCUUGAAGUCCUGAAGUCCUCGCCUCAUUCAGGUUUGUUUUUCAAAAAGCCAGUUCUUUAUCAAACCAUAUGGUGGUUUCCUCCUGUGGGCAAUGCUGGGGAAGUUCCUGGGAGUAGAGAACAAGUUUUUUGUUGUUGAGAUUAGAACAACAGCAAGUUAUUUUAACAAAGGCUUUUCAUGGUCAGAAUAACUGAAGGCUGCUUGAAUGAAGUGAACUUUUAAACAGUUUUUUUCUCCUAUUGACUAUUGAAGACUAUACUAAGCAUUUUCCAUCCAAAGAAUUAUAUUGAGUAUUUUUUACUUGUCCAGCUAUCACAGGCCCAGGGCCGCCCCCAAGUGCCUUGAAGACUGCACACAGCAGUUUCCUUGACUUAAGGUUUGACCUACCCUCCUUAUAAAAUCAGGCUUCCAGCACUAAAUGUAACCUAUUGAUUGCCUCCCUCCUGAAACCUCCUCCUUCCUGAAGCUCCCUAAGUACUAUUAUCUAUAAGAUAAUCUAUAAUCCUCCCCUCUUCCCUGUUGACUACAAUCGAUCCUUCCCUAUGUCACAAGACUCCCACUCCUCUCAUACCCAUUUGAAUGUCUUUGUCCUAACACUUAUAAACCACUCCC